AUGGCGGCAUCUAUGCGCUCUCAGCUGAAGCUACUCGUGUCGCAGGGGAGGCGACCGUGGAGCUAUCCUAUUCUUAACUCUUCUCUUAGCAGUACCAGGAGCGACCCUCCGCACAAGAUUCAUGAUCCCACCGGUGGUCAUCCAGCCGAUAAAGCCGGGGACACUCCCGCCGUUCAGCAGCCUCCACCCGCUCCUGCAGUUUCAGAUCUUGACCACCUCCCAAGUCCCAAACACAUAGGACACGAUGGUGCACUUGUGCCCGAUCUGGCCGCCAAGCCGAAGCUUGGCAGUUCCACCAGUUUCCCUCGACGCAAAAUUUAUGAUCCUGUCAGCAAUUACUCCUUUCAUGAAGAAUCAUGA
rnacentral:rRNA from 1 species